rnacentral:lncRNA from 1 species
CCCCCCGGUCCCCCGCCCCAGGGCUGCAGGUGUUGGUGGAGCUGAACCACAGCGCAGGGCGGAACCACUUCUCAAAUGGCCCCACCCGCAGCAAUGGCAGCAGUGCCAUAAAGCAAGCGAUCGGGGCCUGGCUGGAGCGUGGCUUUGAUGGAGUCUUCCUGGAUGGCAUCGAGGAGCUGGAGGAUUCAGUGUUGGCUGAGUUCCGGAACAUCACAGAGCAGUGGAGCACUGAUGGGACCCCCAGGUUGUUGGUGGGGGGCACACGCCUGCGGGACCCCCUCUUGUUGCAGGAUCUGCUGAAUUCCACGAAGGUCUCCCUGGUUUUGGGGGUGCUGCCCCUGGGAGCCCCCCUGGAUUCCCAAAAUGGCCAAACGGUGUUGGAUCCCACCCAUGUGGCACAGCUGCUGCAGCUCAGCCAAGGGGGGGUCCCUGUAUUGUGGAGUGUGAGUGGACCCCCCCCCUCCCUCCCCCCCCAGAUCCCAAAACCCCCGGGACUCCCCCCCCACCCAAAACUGGGGACCCU